UUUUAAAUGUUAUUACCAACAUUAUGAGAAAAAAAUACAGCUGGCUAAGUGACAGCUGCUUAACUUUUAUUAGAUCGGUUAUGUGUUUUAAAUGAAUUUUUAUCCAUGAAAAAGUUAAAAUAACAUGUGAUAUUUGUUCAUAAAUUAUUAAGGAAAACAUAUUUUCCUAAGUUAUUAUUGGCUCAGUGGAAGAACAUUGUACAAUGUUCUCUGCAUUUAAAAGAUUAGCUGGAAAAUCAGAUGGAGUUGGCAAUGUAUCUCCUAGACCGGCUCAUCAAUCUAUGCCAACUACGUUGCAAAGAAAAUUUGCUAAAGGUGUACAAUAUAAUAUGAAAAUUAUUGUAAAGGGUGAUAGAAAUGUGGGAAAAACUUGUCUAUUUCAUAGACUUCAGGGCCAAAAAUUUAUAGAAGAAUAUAUACCAACAGAAGAAAUACAAGUGACUAGCAUUCAAUGGAAUUAUAAAGCUACUGAUGAUAUUGUUAAAGUUGAAGUUUGGGAUGUUGUAGAUAAAGGUCGACGUAGAAAAAAGUUAGAAGGUUUAAAAAUGGAUAAUUCACCUGCAGAGAAUAUUAUUGAGGAGCCUGCUUUAGAUGCAGAGUUUCUUGAUGUUUAUAAAGGGACCAAUGGUGUUAUCAUUAUGAUGGACAUUACAAAAUCUUGGACAUUUGAUUAUGUACAAAGAGAACUUCCAAAAAUUCCUAGUCAUAUUCCAGUGAUUGUCUUAGGAAAUCAUUGUGAUAUGGCGCAUCACAGAACGGUUACAUCAGAUCAUGUAACAUACUUUAUUGAUUCUUUACAUGAAAGAACAGCACAAGUGAGAUAUGCAGAAUCAUCUAUGAGAAAUGGAUUUGGAUUAAAACUUUUGCACAAAUUUUUUAAUCUUCCAUUUCUUCAACUGCAACGAGAAACGUUAUUAAAACAACUUGAUACCAAUGAGGAAGAAACACGUUUGACAGUACAGGAACUCGACCUCUUUCAGGAUAGCGACGAUGCCAAUUAUAAUAAAUUCUUGGAUAAUCUCGUUAACCGAAGAAGAGCCCUUGCUGAUUCUGUUUCUGCCACCACUCUAGUCCCUAAUAUCACAUCUUCUUUGAGUAAUCAUCAUAUGUUAUCUUCAAAUGGUAAUACGAAUACAAAUAUUGAAGUUAAAAGAUCAAUUUCCAUGCCUGGACCUAUAGGAGGUGGAACUCCUAUUCCAGUUAAAAGCAUAGAUUUAAAAUCACCACCAAAGAAGGACACUUUUAUAAAUACCUUGGAAAAUCAAGCAGUUCCUAUUAGAAAUUCGCAGACGAUAUCGGCAUUAUCGGCUGUACAAAAUAUUUCAAAGACAGAUCCUAAAAUGACUGAACUUUUAAAUGAUAAUUCUGAUAGAAGAGAUUCUAUUAAUAAAUCACAAUCUCUUAUGUCAAAGAUAUUUGGUAAUAAUAAAAAGGAAGAUGAAAUAGACAAAGGAAUACAUGUUAACAGUACAAGUGCAAACGUACCACUCACUAGUGUUGAAGAUUUUAUACCGGAUGACGGGCUCUUAGAUCGAUCGUUCCUAGAAGAUAACAGUCAUGUGUCGCCACAAAAAGUACAACACGAAGAAGCGGAUACUGAAAGUGACAUUGAAACGGCGAAUCCUUUGGUUGCUGGUUACGAGGACGAUUUAUCAUCGGCUGAUGAGACAACACCUCCUAUUCAACCAAAAUUAGCUGAAAAUCCUUUGAGCAAACAGAAACACAAACGCGAGACAUUAUCAAAUACGGAAAUAAAUUCGGAACAAUUACGACAAACUGUGAAACGCGAUUCUGUUUCAUCCAUAGAUCAAGAAAUAGAAAUAUCUAACAACUAUGAUGUAAAUGAGCAGCCGGAAAUUAAUUCUGAUGCGUUUGAUAGCUGGCUCCGACGAGAUUCUAAAUGGAGACAAAGCCCUGAAGGCGGGGAAGAUGUGAGCAGUAAUAGUACUAGAAAAGAUAGACUGGAAUUGAGCGACAAAAGUUUAGAUGUUAGCGUAACAAGUUCUAAUGUUCAUUUAGAAUUGCUCGAUAAUACCAGUGUACGUCAUAUGAGUUCUGAUGGUGGUAGUCCUGUACUAAAAGAAAAGAAAAAACACAAAGAGAAGACGGAAGACAAAGAAAAAAAGAAAAAGAAAAAAUCUAAAGAUAAAGAAAAAGAUAAGGAGAAAACAGAUAAAGGAGAAAAAAAAAAGAAACGUUCGCUACAUCGUUCAAAGGAUGAAAAUAGAGAACGCGAUGAACUUGAAGAAUUUCUAAAUGGUUCUGUUACUAGAAUUGGUGUUGAUGUUGCCUAUGAAGCAAUAUAGCAGUUUUAAAUAUUGUUUAAUCUUACUACUAAUUAGUAACGCUGACUUCUGAUACUUCAAAGCAAGCAGUAUAUCAUGUAAAAAUUUUGUUGAAAUUCUUUAUAUGGUAAAAUAACGUUAAAAAUCAUAACAAAGAAGUUCUAGUAAAGUGAUUUUCAAUCUGAAAUUUUUAAUUUAAAUUAGCAUUCCGUUCGCAUCUAACAUGAAAAUGUAUAUUUUUUCAAAUUCAUAAACAUUUUAUCAUUGCAUUUUCAAAAUAAUUACAGCUGAUUAUAUUUGAGCUAUUUACUUU